UGCAGGGGACGCUGCCAGCCCUGGGCGCCUGCGGGAGCUGCCACUUCAGCCAGGGCCGUGUGGGCUAUGAACAGAUCCCAUCGAGUUCGCCUGCUGCUUUGGUGAGGCCAGUUCCCUAUCGACACAGGUGGAGCUCCCUUGCCUGAAGUCGCCAGGAAGAUGUAGUCAGAGAAUGUGGUAUUCAACUACACGGCCACUCAAUUCACUGAACAGGAACAACGAGCAGUUCACUCGGCAACCGUGGCCAGAAAGAGGGAUGAUUUUAGUCCCUGUGAGUUUGACGAGAGCCAACCUUCAAGUGAUGUCACAGUGUCUCGCAGCUGAUGAUUCCUUCUGCCAGAGGCAACUGCCCAGCGUAAGUGGGAACCAGUGCCAUUCUUUGUGAAGAAGCAAGCCCUCCCAUUGCCGUAGCGAAAUUAACGAGUGUUGCAUACGCCUGUACA